UCAGGAGUAGCUCAGUGGUAGAGCAGCCGGCUGUUAACCGGCUGGUCGUAGGUUCGAAUCCUACCUCCUGAGCCA
rnacentral:tRNA from 1 species